rnacentral:tRNA from 1 species
CCUGGCAGCUAAGAGGUUAAAGCAUCUGCCUCCAAUGCGGGAAAUCCUGGUUCAAUCCCUGGGUCGGGA